UACAGAGGUCUCAAGCGUUGUUCGGAUUCAUUGGGCGUAAAGGGUGCGUAGGUGGCGGGGUUAGUCAGGUGUGAAAUCUCGGGGCUCAACCCCGAAACUGCACUUGAUACUGCCUUGCUAGAGUACUGGAGAGGAGAUUGGAAUUUACGGUGUAGCAGUGAAAUGCGUAGAUAUCGUAAGGAAGACCAGUGGCGAAGGCGGAUCUCUGGGCCUUACCUGACGCUGAGGCGCGAAAGCUAGGGGAGCGAACAGG
rnacentral:rRNA from 1 species